rnacentral:lncRNA from 1 species
UGGUCUUGAUCUCCUGACCUUGUGAGCCACCCGCCUCAGCCUCCCAAAGUGCUGGGAUUCUUUUUUUUCCUUUGAGACGGAGUCUUGCUCUGUCACCCAGGCUGGAGUGCAAUGGCGCAAUCUCAGCUCACUGCAACCUCUGCCUCCCAGGUUCAAAUGAUUCUCCUGCCUCAGCCUCCCAAGUAGCUGGGAUUACAGGCGCCUGCCACCGCGCCCAGCUAAUUUUUGUAUUUUUAGUAGAGACGGGAUUUCACUAUGUUGGCAGACUCCGGAGUCUAUGACUGCCUGGAUCUUCUCAUUGGGGCCAUCGGACAGAUAAGAAAGGGCCCAGCAAGCAUCUGCCAGCAAGUCCGAGUCGCUGCUGAAGAGUAGGCGAGACAGUACAGGCAAACAAGGAGAGACCUGUGGGAAGCAGAGUGAGAAAGACUCAUAGGGGGACAAGACUAUAUCAGCUCUAUCACAAACCCUAACAUUGCAACCACCGCCCCCACAAUACACACACACAAGUAAUUCCAGACCCUAGGGAUCGCUACUACAUUAAACAUUUAGGUCUACCUUUUCACUUUACUAUCCAGGUACACAAGAUCAUCUACUUCACUAACAAUUGCUUCUUUCAGUUUCCCAUGAUUUGAGACUCCAAGGAGUAGCCCAAAGACUUAAAAACUCCAUAUGAA